rfam:Ixodes scapularis strain Wikel colony gcontig_1108378562750, whole genome shotgun sequence.
GCAGUCGUGGCCUAGUGGUUAAGGCGAUGAACUAGAAAUCCAUUGGGGUCUCCCCGCACAGGUUCGAAUCCUGUCGACUGCG